AAAUUGACAGAAGAGAGUGAGCACAAAGAGGCACUUGAUAUAAAUCUAUAUCACUGCUUUUGUGUGCUCACUACUCUUUCUGUCGGUUUU
rnacentral:pre_miRNA from 1 species